GAUGCUGUAGGUUAAUAAAAACCAUUGAAUUUAUUUUUCAAAAAUGAUAUUGUAUUCCGUAUCU